rnacentral:rRNA from 1 species
GGUGAAAUUCCAAACGAACUUGGAGAUAGCUGGUUCUCUCCGAAAUAGCUUUAGGGCUAGCCUCGUGGAGAGGAUAAUGGAGGUAGAGCUCUGUUUGGACUAGGGGCCCGUCAGGGGUUACUGAAUCCAGAUAAACUGCGAAUUCCAGAUAUCCAUACACGGGAGUCAGACUGCGAGUGAUAAGAUCCGUAGUCGAAAGGGAAACAGCCCAGAUCACCAGUUAAGGUCCCCAAAUCUAUGCUAAGUGGAAAAGGAUGUGGAGUUGCGUAGACAACUAGGACGUUGGCUCAGAAGCAGCCAUCAUUCAAAGAGUGCGUAAUAGCUCACUAGUCGAGUGACGCUGCGCCGAAAAUUUACCGGGGCUAAGCAUAGUACCGAAACUGUGGAUGUACGUAAGUACGUGGUAGGAGAGCGUUCUAAGUGCGGCGAAGGUUAACCGAGAGGAUAAUUGGAGCGCUUAGAAGUGAGAAUGCCGGUAUGAGUAGCGAAAGAUAGGUGAGAAUCCUAUCCGCCGAAAGACUAAGGUUUCCUGGGGCAGGCUCGUCCGCCCAGGGUAAGUCGGGACCUAAGGCAAGGCCGAGAGGCGUAGUCGAUGGAUAACAGGUAGAUAUUCCUGUACUGUGUUCAAUCGUUAAGAGCGAAGGAGGGACGCAGGAGGUGAAGCACGCAUCGCGAUGGAACGAUGUUCAAGCGACAAGUGCGGUUAAGAGUCAAAUGCUUCUAACCAGCAACACGAGUCGUGAUGAGGAGCGAAAUAAAAGUAGCGAAGGUGUGGUAGUCACACUGCCAAGAAAAGCUUCUAGCCA